AGAGUUUGAUCCUGGCUCAGGAUGAACGAUAGCUACAGGCUUAACACAUGCAAGUCGAGGGGCAGCAUCAUCAAAGCUUGCUUUGAUGGAUGGCGACCGGCGCACGGGUGAGUAACACGUAUCCAACCUGCCGACAACACUGGGAUAGCCUUUCGAAAGAAAGAUUAAUACCGGAUGGCAUAGUUUUCCCGCAUGGGAUAAUUAUUAAAGAAUUUCGGUUGUCGAUGGGGAUGCGUUCCAUUAGGUUGUUGGCGGGGUAACGGCCCACCAAGCCUUCGAUGGAUAGGGGUUCUGAGAGGAAGGUCCCCCACAUUGGAACUGAGACACGGUCCAAACUCCUACGGGAGGCAGCAGUGAGGAAUAUUGGUCAAUGGACGAGAGUCUGAACCAGCCAAGUAGCGUGAAGGAUGACUGCCCUAUGGGUUGUAAACUUCUUUUAUACGGGAAUAAAGUGAGGCACGUGUGCCUUUUUGUAUGUACCGUAUGAAUAAGGAUCGGCUAACUCCGUGCCAGCAGCCGCGGUAAUACGGAGGAUCCAAGCGUUAUCCGGAUUUAUUGGGUUUAAAGGGAGCGUAGGCGGACGCUUAAGUCAGUUGUGAAAGUUUGCGGCUCAACCGUAAAAUUGCAGUUGAUACUGGGUGUCUUGAGUACAGUAGAGGCAGGCGGAAUUCGUGGUGUAGCGGUGAAAUGCUUAGAUAUCACGAAGAACUCCGAUUGCGAAGGCAGCCUGCUGGACUGUAACUGACGCUGAUGCUCGAAAGUGUGGGUAUCAAACAGGAUUAGAUACCCUGGUAGUCCACACAGUAAACGAUGAAUACUCGCUGUUUGCGAUAUACAGUAAGCGGCCAAGCGAAAGCGUUAAGUAUUCCACCUGGGGAGUACGCCGGCAACGGUGAAACUCAAAGGAAUUGACGGGGGCCCGCACAAGCGGAGGAACAUGUGGUUUAAUUCGAUGAUACGCGAGGAACCUUACCCGGGCUUGAAUUGCAGGUGGAUGAGUCAGAGAUGAUUCUUUCCUUCGGGACUCCUGUGAAGGUGCUGCAUGGUUGUCGUCAGCUCGUGCCGUGAGGUGUCGGCUUAAGUGCCAUAACGAGCGCAACCCUUAUCGAUAGUUACUAACAGGUCAUGCUGAGGACUCUGACAAGACUGCCAUCGUAAGAUGUGAGGAAGGUGGGGAUGACGUCAAAUCAGCACGGCCCUUACGUCCGGGGCUACACACGUGUUACAAUGGGGGGUACAGAGGGCCGCUACCACGCGAGUGGAUGCCAAUCCCCAAAACCUCUCUCAGUUCGGACUGGAGUCUGCAACCCGACUCCACGAAGCUGGAUUCGCUAGUAAUCGCGCAUCAGCCACGGCGCGGUGAAUACGUUCCCGGGCCUUGUACACACCGCCCGUCAAG
rnacentral:rRNA from 1 species